rnacentral:lncRNA from 10 species
AAUUCAUACACUGAAAACUUAACCCCCAAUGGGAUGGUAUUUGGAGAUGGGUCUGCAGGAGGAUGGGCUCCUGGUUGGCCUUUGCUAAUCCAGCUCUCCCCCACCCUGCUUGUAGUUCUCAGGAUAACUGUGGAAUGAGCAUCUGAGAUGAGAAGGAACUGUUAUUUUCUUCUUGUUCUCAUCCACACUGUCUAAUUUCUCUGUAAGAAUGUUGAUUACUUUCUAAGAAAACAUAGUUUAAUUGGCACCUUGGGGUUGUGGUGAAACAGGCAUCCUGAUGCCAGUAUAAUUGGCUACAGCCUUUCUUAAAAACAAUUUUCAAAUUCCUUUCACUAUCCUUAAAAGAUGACAGUGUUUUACAUAGUGAUUCCAUUCCUGUUGAUCUAUCUUAAGGAUAUAAUCAGAAUAUUGACUCAAGACUGUUGUUUUUCCAGAAUUCUUUCAAAUUGAAAAAAAAAAUUUAAAAAGAAAAGAAUAUCUAAAUAAAUAAAGUAUAUCAAUAUAAUGAACUAUUGUGCAAUCAUUAGAAUGAUUUCUAAGUGUUUUUUACAUAGUAACUUGUUAUUGAACAUUUAGUUUGAGUCAUACGUUAUAUCAAAAGUUUCACCAUGCAUGAGUUCAUUUGAUUCUCUCAACAAACCUGUGAAUUAAUAUUGUGACCAUGAUUAGUCACAUGAGAAAACUGAGGAUAAGAGAAAACUAUAAGACUCUUAUGUGACAAAAUGUCUAAACAGAGUAACUAUUUGAAUCCAGCCCCUAUGGAUUUUGCUACUACUAUCUGGAAAUGAUAAAGCAAAAUCAGACACUACCAGUGAUUUAAUGCUAAGAGGAAAAAAAGUCAUCACCUAAAUUGUAUCCUAUUAAAAUAGACAUAUAGGCAUAGGAAGAAAUAGAGCAAAACAUUCAUAGACACAAUAUGGGCAUGGCAAGUUUUCAAAUAAUUUUUAUU